AUGGAUGCAGGGCCAAUGUACUACAAGGGGCUGUACCACCUCUUCUACCAGUACAACCCAAGGGGCGCCGUGUGGGGGAACAUCAUCUGGGCGCACUCCGUCUCCACCGACCUCAUCCACUGGGUGGCCCUCCAGCCCGCGAUCUACCCGACCAGGCCCUUCGACGUCAACGGCUGCUGGUCUGGCUCCGCGACACUGCUGCCCAACGACGUCCCUAUCAUCAUGUACACCGGCAUCGACCCCGACAAGAACCAGGUGCAGAACGUCGCGUACCCGGCCAACCUCUCCGACCCCUUCCUCCGCGAGUGGGUCAAGCCCGAGUACAACCCCAUCAUCACCCCCGACCACGGCAUCAACGUGAGCGCGUUCCGUGAUCCCACGACAGCGUGGUAUGGACCCGACGGACACUGGAGGUUGGUGGUGGGCACCAAGGAGAACAUGAGGGGGAUCGCGGCGUUGUACCGGAGCCGAGACUUCAAGAAGUGGGUCAAGGCGCGCCACUCGUUGCAUGCGGGACUCACCGGAAUGUGGGAAUGUCCCGACUUCUUCCCUGUGGCGGUGGUCGGAGGCAGCCGUCACCACCAGCGCGGUGUGGAUACCGCGGAGUUGCACGACCGUGCUUUGGCCGAGGACGUCAAAUACGUGCUCAAGGUGAGUCUAGAGCUGACACGAUACGAUUACUACACCGUUGGCACCUACAACCACGACAAGGAGAGGUACACCCCUGACCCCGCCUUCCCUGACAAUGACUACGGCCUCCGCUACGACUAUGGUGACUUCUACGCCUCCAAGUCCUUCUUCGACCCGGCCAAGAAACGCCGAGUGCUCUGGGGCUGGGCCAAUGAGUCUGACACCGUUACCGACGACCGCCACAAGGGCUGGGCCGGCAUCCAGGCGAUACCAAGGAAGAUCUUCCUGUCACGGAGUGGGAGGCAGCUGAUUCAGUGGCCUGUGGAGGAGGUCAAGUCGCUGCGCUCAAAACACAUCAAUGUCAGCAACAAGGCUGUCAAGGGUGGUGAGUACUUCGAGGUCACCGGCUUCAAAUCCGUGCAAUCGGAUGUUGAGGCAGCGUUCUCGAUUAGGAACCUGGACAAGGCGGAGAAGUUCGACCCGUCAUGGCGAACCGAUGCACAGGGGCUAUGCAAGAAGUUCAACUCGCACGUCAAGGGCGGCGUUGGGCCGUUUGGGCUCUGGCUGCUGGCCUCCGAUGACCUCGAGGAGAGGACAGCCGUCUUCUUCAGGGUGUUCAAGACCAACGACACCAAUUAUGUCGUCCUCAUGUGUAAUGACCCAACAAGGUCGUCGUACGAGUCUCAGAUCUACAGGCCGACCUUUGCGGGCUUCGUCAAUGUUGACAUAGCCAAGACCAAGAAGAUCGCCCUCAGGACAUUGAUUGACCAUUCUGUGGUGGAGAGCUUCGGGGCCGGCGGAAAGACGUGCAUCCUGACAAGAGUUUACCCGAGGAAGGCCAUUGGGGACGACGCGCACCUCUUCGUCUUCAACAACGGCGAGUCGGACAUCAAGGUCACCAACCUGCACGCGUGGGAGAUGAAGACCCCCACGAUGAACAAGCUGCUGGAGCAGUAG
rnacentral:rRNA from 1 species